GGCCUUUUGUUAUUUAUAUAAGGUCUAACCUGCCCAAUGAUAAUUUAUUUAAUGGCCGCGGUAUUUUGACCGUGCAAAGGUAGCAUAAUCAUUAGUUUUUUAAUUGAAAGCUGGAAUGAAAGGUUGAAUGAGAAAAUAACUGUCUUUAUUAUAUUUAAUUAGAAUUUUAUUUUUAAGUUAAAAAGCUUAAAUUUAAUUUAAAGACGAGAAGACCCUUUAGAGUUUUAUAAAAAAUUAAUUUUUGAUUUUUUAGAAUUAAUUAUAAUAAAAUUAUGUUUUAUUUGAUUGGGGCGAUUAAAAAAUUUAAAAAACUUUUUUUCUUAUUUAACAUUAAUUUAUGAAUACUUGAUCCUUAAUUUAAGAUUAUAAGAUUAAAUUACCUAAGGGAUAACAGCGUUAUUUUUUUUGAGAGUUCUUAUCGAAAAAAAAGAUUGCGACCUCGAUGUUGGAUUAAAAUUAAAUUAUGGUGUAGAGGCUAUAACUUUAGGUCUGUUCGACCUUUAAAAUUUUACA
rnacentral:rRNA from 1 species